rnacentral:lncRNA from 1 species
CUGCAGCUCCAAUUCAACCCCUAGCCUGGGACCCUCCGUAUGCCAUGGUGCAGCCCUAAAAAUAAAAAAAAUAAAAAAAAUGGCAAAAAAUAAAAUAAAUGUGGAGAGUUCUUUCUGUAUUCUGAAGGCAAGCACUUUGUCAGUUGUAUGUUUCACGAAUAAUUUCUCCCAGUCUGCGGCUUUUCUUAAUAGUGAUUUUCAAAGCACAGAAGUUUUCAAGUUUGAUAAAAGCCAACCCGUUUUUUUUCCACCCCAUGGAAGGGCUUUUGGUGUCNCAUUCAAGAAGACCUUGAGUAACAAAAGUGCACAAUAAAUUUCUUGCAAGUUUUCUUUUAUGUGUUUUAUAGUUUGGGGUUUGAUAUUCAGUUCUAUGAUCCUUUUUGAGUUUAAUUUUUUUAUAUGCUUUGAGGUGUGGAUAGACAUUCUUCGGGGAUGGGAGAGGGCAUCAUCCACUUAUUCCACCAUGAUUUGUUGGAAAACAUAUCAUUUCUCAACUGAACUGCCUUUGCACCUUAGUGGAAAACUAGUUUUCCAUAUAUGUGGCUCUAGUAGGUCUUGAAAUCAAGUGCUGUUAGCCCUCCAGCUUCUAGUCCCCCAGCUUCAUGGUGGCUUGCCUAUCUUAGGUGCUUUGCAUUUCCAUACACAUUUUUAGAAUCAAUUUGUCAACGCCUACAAAAAAAAAGCUCACAGAUUUCAGCUGGGAUUGCAUUGAAUGCCCCAGGAAGUUUGGGGAGAAUUGACAUCUUGACAAUAUUGAGUCUUCUGAUCCAUGAACACAUUAUAUUUCUUCAUUGAUUUAAAUCGUCUUUAAUCUAUCUCAGUGUUUUUAGUCUUUGGUAUACAGGUCUUUUGUCAUAGUUUCUUCAAGCUAUUCAAUAUUUUGUAAUGCUUAGUAAAAGGUAUUUUUCAUUUAAUUUCAAGUUUCUAUGUAUUUCUAAUACCUAAAAUUAUGAUGAUUUUUGUAUAUUGGUUUUGUAACCUUCAUGCGUGCUAGUCUCAUUUAUUAGGUUUGUAGAGAUUUUAUCCUAUUUUCUACAUCAUCAGUUACAGGGGAGGGAAUGCUUUUCCUCUACCUUCUUAGGUUCUGUACCUGGGGCCUGUGAAUUAAGCUGAUAAAAGAAAGAUGAAUAGGAGAAUAAGGAAUAGAAAUUUAAUUAAUAUUUUACAUUUUACAUGCGUGGGGAAUACACAGAAAAGAAGUGAAAACCCAAAGAAGCAGUUAGACUCAGAAACAUAUAUAGCAUUUUAACAAAGUGUGAUAAGGAGAAAUAACUAGACAAAGGAAAGGGGUACUAAAUUGUGGGAAGGUAAGUAAAUGGGGAAACUAAUGGAAGAUAAGGGUUAGUUUAGUGUGGUUUGUUUGGGCAGACUUUUCUUGACACUGGCUUUCUGUCUUCUUCUGGGCCAUAAAACUCCCCUGGAGAAGGGAUUUAUAGCAACCUCCUUUCUCAAGUUUCUGCUUUUAGUCCGAUAAGGGAAGCUCCAAGAAGUCUUAUUUCAACAUCUGUUGAUUCUCAGUUGCCUUCAGCUUGAAAUGAGCCGUAUGCCAGAGUGGCAUACUUUGGAGGGGCAUAGUCUGCUCUCCUUCACAAUCGUGUCAUCUGUCAUAAAUCCAUUUUUACUUCACUCUUUCCAAUCCGAAUGACUUGUCUCCCUUCCUUCCGUCCCCUUCCUUCUUCCUAAUUCCCUCCCUCAUCAAAGUGAGAACAUUUCCUCUCUUCCUAAGCUGCUGAGCGCUUUUCAUCUGCCGUGAAGUUUGGACUUUGCCAAAUACCUUUUCUGCAUUCAUCGAGAUAUUCCUGAGGUUUUUCUUUUAGAGUUGUUAAUAUGGUGAAUCCCCUGGAUUGGUUUUUUGAUGUGAAGCCCCGAGAAAGAUUUCCCUUUGGAGUCUUUUUGUGUCUCCCAAAAUAAGUCAUCAUUCCUACCCCUCCGUUUCCUGAGGAAUGUUAGGCUGUGAACCAGAGCAAGUGUGGGUAGGAGGAAGAAACUUUUAAGUCUUAAAGGUGAAAACCAAGCCAAUCAGUCCCUGGAUUCUGUACUGAGCCAAUUAAAAAAAAAAUUAUAUAUAAUAUAUGAAUAGAGUUUGGCUGGAGAGCAGAGAGAGUUCUGGGGACAGCUUCAUGGCUUUUGGAGAAGAGAUCGAAGAUGCCCCUUAGGGACAGACAGAAGUGGAGCUCUGGGUACCUUAUGGCGUGCUUCACAGGCCCUUGUCAUUUUACUUCUCUGUGGAGGGAAAAUGCAGCUAAAAAUUGAGAACUUCCCUCCUAUUACUAGGAUGCCACUGGUCCUUGGUACAUGACCCAUCACCUUUCAGUUCUUCCCUGAAGACAUUACUCAAUGAUU